rnacentral:lncRNA from 1 species
ACCAAAGCCUUGAUCUAUUCGACAAACUAGGAUGGCAGGAGACAGCGGCAAGGACAAGGCCAUAGUCGUAAGGGUAUCUGGCGUGCACUGCAAUUACUGGUACGUGAUUGAGGAGAAGUCGGCGAUCGACGUCGAUGACGACAACACGAUGGUCGGAUGUAAAUCUGAUCAUGAAAGAGUAAGACGCCUCUCUUUGGUAAAUGAAGAUGAGGAACCUCUCAUAUAUUCAAGCAGCCUUGUCGUCAUAAACUCCACCAUAUACCUGAUUGGUGGUGAUGGUUAUUGUCCACCAAAAUCGGAUGAUGAACGGCUUGCUUAUCGACGCUUAGAUCUGGGAGGAGGGUGGUGGCGGCCGGACAUCGGCGGGAAUUUGAUGAACAAUCAAGGUGGCGGAGCAGCUGUUGGCCCCGACGGUAAUAUUUACACGGUGGGAUACAAUAUAUAUCGAUUCUCUCCUCAUGGGACUUUCCAUGAGGAGUUAGUAUCCCCGCCAAGCAGGGGCUACAUCAAACACCUACGUCUUCUUGGUGUUACUAGCAAAACGCUUUUCGUCUACACCGUGGAAGGGGGCGUGGAUGGUGCCAAUCGGAUGCUUGGUUUUGAUUUCGAAUCAAGACGGUGGGAUGUCCUUAGUGACUACUACCGUGGCGACUGGUCUGCGGGAGUCGUGCUUUACGACCGGUACUUGUUUUCCUUUUGCUGUCAGGAUCCUACAUGCCUGCAAGAAGCGGAUGUUCCUGGGAGUCGUGCUUUACGACCGGUACUUGUUUCCUUUUGCUGUCAGGAUCCUACAUGCCUGCAAGAAGCGGAUGUUCCUGGGAUUUAUGUAUUCGAUAUUGAGCGGUGUCAAUGGCUCCCCAAACCUGUUGAGGGCCUCCCUACUGAUGGAAAAGUCCUCCCACUUAUUUUCACGCCAGACCCUGUCGCGUACAUGCCAUCAUAUUACGCGGCAUUCUUGUUCCAAAUCGGAAACCAAGACCCCCACAAGUUGGCUUUGCUGUGGGACGUUCAUGGUGCACAUCCUGAAUCUAAUGGGCAUCAAGUGACCAUUGUCUGGGCCAAGUUUGUACUCAACCGCACCACUGAUCACUUCUGCGCCACUUCAGUCUCAAGUGGAUCAUGUCCGCUUGAUGAUGAAACCUUCGAGGUGAUCAACUGUGCAGCAGGAAUGUGAGCUCUGUGUAAUCCAUUGCAGAAUCUCUGAUAUGUAGUCCAUUUCUGUUGAGACCGCUAUUGUAUUAUUUUCCUGUUUAAGUAAUAAUAAAUUUCUACUUGAUUUGUUCUCUUGAAAGAUAUACCAUUUCCUAUCUGUGUCUCGUUUUAUUUAGUAUACAGUGAUAUAUAUACAUAGCCCAUGUCACAAAGAUAUACCAUUUCCUAUCUGUUUAAAUAUGUCUGCAGCAAUGUUGAAGAGGGUUUCGUUUUUUCUGGAGAUACAGCCCAGACUAUAGCAAGGGGUAUUGAUUUUAGAUUCCAAGAUAUACGACAUCUCUUUUACAAGAAGUUUGUAUUGGAAUCAUGAAGCAAAAAACAUGACUAUAGGAAAGAAAAAGGUCAAAUCUCAGACAUAUUUCAUCUGACACAAAACUUCCGAAGCCAUGAUGGAAUACUGAAGUUGUUACAAAGUACUGUUGAACUGAUUUAUUGUUUUUCCCCCUCUAUAUUGAUGUGUUAAAUCCAGAAACGAGUAUGAUAAAUGGGGAGGCUCCGAUUAUACUUUAUUCUGGUGAUGAUGAAAAGCUAUUCAAAAAAAUUCUCAGAAGUGGUGGGAUUAUUUCCGGAAAUAUGGGUGGCUUUGGUGCAGAUCAAGUUGUUUUGAUCCGUGAUGAUUGUUCUCGGUAAGAAAUAUGUGGCUUUUUUUUUUUUAAUGAAAAAAAUCUUCCAGAAGGUUAUAACACUGAGCAGCCUAAAAAUGCAACAGUUCUAGAAUCUGUGGCGCCUGACACUCUUGUAGAGAAAAGAGAGUCAGACUUUUCUGAAGGCUCUUUACUUGCAAAUAUCAGUCAUGAACCAAGAGAGGUUUCUCUUUUGUGGAGGUUGCAUCAUGACACUCUUGUAGAGAAAAGAGAGUCAGACUUUUCUGAAGGCUCUUUACUCGGAAAUAUCAGUCAUGAACCAAGAGAGGUUUCUCUUUUGUGGAGGUUCCAUGAUGCAUUGUUUGAAACAUAUAGGGAGAAUUGGAGUUUACGUUGCUACAGUACUUCACCUGAUUGCUUCUUGUAUCUUGUAGAUUGCCUUCUGUUUCUGAUAUGUUGCUUUCAAGGUUAUGUAAUCACUACAAGAUCUUGUUUUGUUGAAAGGGUGAUAUAUAAGGAGGAACAUUACCAAGUAAUAGUGGAUGAUGUUCGAAUGUCUUUUGAAUGCAUCCUUCAGUUUCUGACUGAUGUGGUCCGGGAAUUUAUUUUUAAUGAGAUGAAGAUGACUGAAUGGACUAAAAAGUUUACCAAGAGUAGUUGGAAGUUGCAUUACUCGCUACUGACACGGAGAUUGGUUUCUGUGUUAUGUUUGCUUCAUUUGAAUUUUGGGAUGGGUUUUGAUAUUCUGUUGGAUUUGCUGAGGAGGGUUUAGGGUUUUGCUAUGCCCUUAGGGGAAUUGCAUCUUUAAGUGAUUCUCUUAGUAGGCAUGUUGAUUUGGUAGCUCGGGCUUUUAAGGAGAUCCGCAAUCCUUUGGUGGUUGCAAGUUUUGGGAUUGAUUGUUCAAGGUUCUUCUCGUCAGAUGUCAUUUUCAUCAACAUGAAGUCUAACUUAUGCAUGUAGGUCUCUGUUUCCAGAACACUCUAUGGUUCCUUCUUCUUCAGAAGGGCAAACACACACCACUGAAAUCCUUCGGCAUUGGAACAGAAGUAACUUCCCAAUGGAUUUUGAUCCCUUGUGGGAAAUAUUUAAAGGGUUUAAACCAACAAAAGGAAGAGAACAAUGCAAUAUAUUUUCAGAUGCCUCACCAAUAAAGGUAAUACUAGCUUAGGUCUUACAUGGUUCAGAUUAGCCAGCGAUUCAUUGUAUUGAAUUUUUCCUUGACGUUCUUUUCAGUUGGAUGUGGAGAAGAUUAUCCGGCUAUUGGCUGCUGCAUGCAUGGUCUGGCCUUGACAAAGAAGAAGUUAAGUUAUCCAGAGAAGUGCUGUGCCCGCUGGAUGAAUUGGUGCAACUCUAUGCCGCAUUAGAUGGAAGGUACUUUAUAAACAUUUUGAUUGUCUUAAGAUAGCGUUCGUGUCAGCAUGAUAGCCUUUACAUUUCCUAUUUUCCGGGAUCUCAUCUCAUCAAUCUUCGUUUUUCUAUUCUCAGUGAACAAGAACUUGGAAACAAUAUGGCUACAGUUGCAAAACUUUCCAGGAGGUUGCAGUGGAGAUGUCAAAGAUUCUAUUGGCCGGAAUCUUCACUGAACUAUAUUCGGAGCACAACAUGAAACUAGCUAAGGGAGGCACAUGAGGCUGUUGACUAGUCUGGACACCACAUUGAGGCUGGAAAUCACGGUGACAGUGAAGCUGAAGAAAAUAGCAUUACUACUGCUUCCAAUUCAAAGCAUUCAAGUUGAUCUCUCCUUUUUCGAUUAUUAGGCCCAUUAGCUUUUGGACUUUUCAGGCUAACAAUGGUUAAUGUUUUUGUACUUCACUACACCUGGCCUGGCCCGGCCCGGCCCAAAUAAAGCACAAACUCUGAGAUUUCUUCACGUUUACGUUUUUGUUCUCCUCUGUUAUUGUGCCCAAGUCUCUCAAAAGGGAGUCUUGGAAUUUGAAAAGUAACCCCACGAACACGAAACGUUCACUCACCUUUCACUUUUACAGUCGAAAAUUCUUCCAUUUACAGGGUAAAAAUUCACUCUAGUGACGUGGCAACAUGUGUGAGUCGAUUAUGGAUUUCGACUAACUCUCUGUUAACGUUUUAACUGAAAUUAGAAAGAAAAAAAAGAAACAAAGAUGAGGCGAUUAUAAAGUUUGCUUCUCGUCAAACAUUGAGCUACCGUUGUUUCUUGAUACUAACUUUGAGAGAAGCAGACACUUUUGUAUAAUUCUAUUUACUGACUAUUUAGCUUACAGUAAAAUGGUUCAGUAAUAAUAUGAACAUUAAUAACGUGUCUUGGAAAAUAACCUAUAAUAGGAACCUACUAGAGAGCCCACAAGCACAAACCCAAGCCCAAGGUAUGAAUGGCCCGUGCCCUGUCUGUGUAUAUUUAGAGAUAGACGACCGCCAAAGAGAAACAAAAGGGAGGAACCAAAGCCUUGAUCUAUUCGACAAACUAGGAUGGCAGGAGACAGCGGCAAGGACAAGGACAUAGUCGUAAGGGUAUCUGGCCUGGAAGGCAAUUACUGGUACGUGAUUGAGGAGAAGUCGGCGAUCGACGUCGAUGACGACAACACGAUGAUCGGAUGUAAAUCUGAUCAUGACAGAGUAAGACGCCUCUGUUGGGUACGUGAAGAUGAGGAACCUUGCCUGGGUUCAAGCAGCCUUGUCGUCCUAAACUCCACUAUAUACCUCAUUGGUGGUGAUGGUGAACUAUAUCCACCAGAUGCUGAACGGGUUGGUUAUCGACUCUUAGAUCUGGGCGGAGGGGGAUGGCGGCUGGGCGGCGGCAACGUGUAUUUGAUGAACUAUCAAGCUGGCGGAGCAGCUGUUGGCCCCGACGGUAAUAUUUACACGGUGGGAUACAAUAUAUAUCGAUUCUCUCCUCAUGGAACUUUCACUGAGAAGUUGGUAUCCCCGCCAAGCAGCAAACAACCACGUCUUCUUGGUGUUACUAGCAAAACGCUUUUCAUCUACACCGAGCAAGGGGGCGUGGAAGGUGCCAAUCGGAUGCUUGGUUUUGAUUUCGAAUCAAGACGGUGGGAUGUCCUUACUGACUACUACCGUGGCAAGUGGUCUGCGGGAGUCGUGCUUUACGACGACCGGUACUUGUUUUCCUUUUGCCAUCAGGAUCCUACACGCCUGGAAGAAGAGGAUGUUCCUGGGAUUUAUGUAUUCGAUAUUGAGCGGUGUCAAUGGCUCCCCAAACCUGUUGAGGGCCUCCCUAC